rnacentral:rRNA from 1 species
AACGAACGCUGGCGGCAUGCCUAACACAUGCAAGUCGAACGAGACCUUCGGGUCUAGUGGCGCACGGGUGCGUAACGCGUGGGAACCUGCCCUUAGGUUCGGAAUAACUCCCCGAAAGGGGUGCUAAUACCGGAUAAUGUCUUCGGACCAAAGAUUUAUCGCCUUUGGAUGGGCCCGCGUUGGAUUAGCUAGUUGGUAGGGUAAAAGCCUACCAAGGCGACGAUCCAUAGCUGGUCUGAGAGGAUGAUCAGCCACACUGAGACUGAGACACGGCCCAGACCCCUACGGGAGGCAGCAGUGGGGAAUAUUGGACAAUGGGCGAAAGCCUGAUCCAGCAAUGCCGCGUGAGUGAUGAAGGCCUUAGGGUUGUAAAGCUCUUUUACCCGGGAUGAUAAUGACAGUACCGGGAGAAUAAGCUCCGGCUAACUCCGUG